rnacentral:rRNA from 1 species
UACGUAGAAGGCUAGUGUUAGUUAUCUUUAUUGGGUUUAAAGGGUAUGUAGACGGUAAAUUAAACUCCAAAAGAGUACUUUUUUUACUAGAGUUAUAUGUGAGAAGGAAGAAUUCCUGGAGUAGAGAUAAAAUUCUUUGAUACCAGGGGGACUGUCAACGGCGAAGGCGUCCUUCUAUGUAAUAACUGACGUUGAGAUACGAAGGCUUGGGUAGCAAACAGG